CUACAGACACAGAUGAAGAGACAUAUAGAUAGAAUCACAUUUACGUCAUACCAUUGGACGGAGCAUCCCUGAUUUCAAGACCUGGGCUUCUGCGCACUGAUCGAUGGCUCCAAGGUGGCAAAGCAUCCAUGGUCAACUGACCCUCUGUCUCUGGAUACAAAGGGAAUGAAGAGAUGAAAGGCUUUUUAUCUGAGGCUUCAAGGAGCAUCCUGGUGGGGAUAUCAUAAAAUUGCAUUGAGAUGGCCACAGUUUCACAUAAGUGGUCCUCACCAAGAUGAGAAAUUGUCAUGGAUGAUACUACAACCAAAAGACAAAUGACUGGUCCAAGGAAUGUUUCACGUGGAAAGACUAUUUUUAGAAGGGAAGAGUUAAUUUCAUAAGAAGGUGAUAUAUAAAGCUAAGAGGAAAGCUGAUGGUUUUACCGUCAUUGUAUUAAACUGUAAUAGUGUGUUAAAUAAUAUCUCAGAAUUCCUUUAGGUGACAAUUAGCAGAUCCCUUCCCAGAGAUAAUGGAAACCAGCAGUGGAUUUUAGCAAGAUAUUGGUAUGGAAAAUAGACAUGCUGAAUGGUUCCCAAACACCCCUGGGGUGGAGGAACAAUAUUAACUGUAAAAUAGCCAAAUUAAAAAUCAUUUAAAGGCAGAUUUCAAUAUGGUAUUUUCCUUUUCAAUAGAAAGCAUGAAAUUGUAUUAAGCCUCCUUUUGAUUAUUCAAAACAGCGAAAUAAGGAUCUUUGCUUUCGUACAGCAGUGGGUUUGCCGAGCAGAAGCCUUCAUUUGCCGCUACAUUUCCUUGCAUCAUGACAUAAUUGUCCCCUUGUACUCCAGUUAUGCCAUGGGUAUUGAAGUAUGCUGGGCCGUUGAGCUAAUCCUUAGUUUUAACACAGCGUUAUGCUUAGAGAAAGAUUCACAAAUAUUUUGAGUGAAGAAGGAAGCUUCAAACAGGAUAAUUAAAAUCACCUGAAACUCUUACAAGGGAAUUCGUUAAACAUAUAGUGCAUUCAGUUAAUGUCUAACCUCGCGAGUAAUCAGGAAAUGCACAUUAAAUCACCGAAGAGACAGCACUCUUCACCUAUCACAUACUGCAGUGAAUUGUAAAUUGCUACAACCUUUCUAGAAAGCAAUUUGGCAAAAUCCAUCAAGAGCCCUGAAAGAGUUCAUACCCUUUGUCAGGAUAAUAACAUCCAAGAAUCUAUUCUAAGAAAAUAAUAAAAGAUUCAAAGUUUUUUUGUA